AGCAAUGUAGCAACACAUGACAACAUAGCAAUGUAGCAACACAUGACAACACAGCAAUGUAGCAACACAUGACAACACAGCAUGGUAGCAACACAUGACAACAUAGCAAUGUAGCAACACAUGACAACACAGCAAUGUAGCAACACAUGACAACAUAGCAAUGUAGCAACACAUGACAACACAGCAAUGUAGCAACACAUGACAACACAGCAUGGUAGCAACACAUGACAACACAGCAUGGUAGCAACACAUGACAACACAGCAUGGUAGCAACACAUGACAACACAGCAUGGUAGCAACACAUGACAACAUAGCAAGGUAGCAACACAGCAUGGUAGCAACACAACAUGGUAGCAGCACAAAACAUGGUACAAACAUUAUUGGGCACAGACAACAGCACAAAGGGCAAGAAGGUAGAGACAACAAUACAUCUCACAAAGCAGCCACAACUGUCGGUAAGAGUGUCCAUGAUUUUGUCUUUGAAUGAAGAGAUUGUGAUAAAACUGUCCAGUUUGAGUGUUUGGUGCAGCUCGUGAGGCCUAAGAGGAUUUUCUAAAUAAACAUCAACCAGUGGGUCUUGCGACAGGCAUACAGAGAUGACCAGUUUACAGAGGAGUAUAGAGUGCAGUGAUGUGUCCUUUAUAAGGAGCACUGGUGGCAAAUCUGAUGGUCGAAUGGUAAAGAACAUCUAGCCGCUCGAGAGCAUCCUUACCUGCUGAUCUAUAAAUUAUGUCUCCAUAAUCUAGCUUGCGUAGGAUGGUCAUCUGAAUCAGGGUUAGUUUGGCAGCUGGGGUGAAAGAGGAGCGAUUAUGAUAGAGGAAUCCACAUCUAGAUUUAACUUUAGCCUGCAGCUUUGAUAUGUGCUGAGAGAAGGACAGUGUACCGUCUAGCCAUACUCCCAAGUACUUGUAUGAGGUGACUACCUCAAGCUCUAAACCCUCAGAGGUAGUAAUCACACCAGUGGGGAGAGGGGCAUUCUUCUUACCAAACCACAUUACCUUUGUUUUGGAGGUGUUCAGAAGAAGGUUAAGGGCAGAGAAAGCUUGUUGGAUACUAAGAAAGCUUUGUUGUAGAGCAUUUAACACAAAUUUUGGG
ensembl:lncRNA